UUUGGAUUUAGUUUAAUUAAAAUUUCUUUUUUUGGGUUAGAAGAUUUUUCCAAAA
rnacentral:tRNA from 1 species